GCCCUCCCCUGUGGGCCCAGGUCAAGUCCUGGGGGUCAAGCUAAGUCAGGGAGCCUCAUCCAUGCCCAGCCCGGAGCCCACGGCGCCGUCAAGAAAUGCUUCUUCCCUCCGUCAGGAAACAUUAGUGGGAAAGACAAGAGCCGGGGGGUUCUGGGGUCCUGGGGGAUCAGAUUAGGGGGUCUGGGAGCAGCAGCAGCCUCAGGCACCCCAAAACAAGGCCCAGGAGCUGGACUCCCAGGGCUGAGGGGCAGAGGGAAGGAGGGCCUCCUGGGGGGUUGGCAUGAGCAUAGGCACCCGGGUGGGGGCUGAGCACCCCUCAGCUGGCACAUAGAGGCCCCCACUGCAGCACCCUUCCCCCUCGGAGACCCUGGGCUCCCGUCUCCCGCCUGGCCUGCCAUCCUGCUCACCACCCAGAAAUCCCUGAGUGCGGUGCCAUGUGACUGGGCCCUGCCCUGGGGAGGAAGGCGAUUCAGACAGACAGGAUGCCAGGGCAGAGAGGGGUGAGCAGAGGAUGCUGGGAGGGGGCCCGUGGAGGCCUGGGGGGCAGGGGCAGGAGUUCUCCAGGGUGGACGGCGCUGUGCUGUGCUCGGUGAGCACAGAGGCCCCGGAUGUCCCAGGCCUGGGAACCCAGCAGAGGGGCAGCGACGGGGCUCCAAGGACCCGAAGGCCGAGCCCUGACCAGACCUGUGGGUCCAGAAGGCAGCUGCGCCCUGAGGCCACUGAGCGGCCCCCUGUCCCGAACCACCUCUGAAACGUGGGACACACGCUCCCAGGCGGAGCCACUCGUGCCUUCCGGGAGGCUCCCAGCGGGCUCAUCGCUCCAUCCCACAGGGAGGGAAACCGAGGCCCAGAUGACGAACAUCCCGAACGUGACACUUUCAAAAUCAGAAAACACAGCACUGAACUGAUUUACGAUGAACGACCCUCUAAAAAUGGUGUGGUAGAAGGUUUGAAUGGCAUCGUGAAAAUAACAUCAUCCCCAAGAGGUCACAAGACAAGACCCAGCAUAUGCGAGCGUGUGUCUCUGUAUCUACACGCCCAUCCGUGUCCACACCUCUUACCUGGGGCUACCCGGGCCGGUGGACGUACCGGGAAUGGUGGUUUUCACUUGGCCCUUGCCACUUUUCUGAUUUUUUUCUACAAUGAUUAUAUGUUUACCGUAUAAUUAUAAAACCACAUGUUUUUAAGUGUU